rnacentral:rRNA from 1 species
UACAGAGGGUUCGAGCGUUAAUCGGAAUUACUGGGCUUAAAGCGCGCGUAGGCGGCUCUACAAGUGCCCGGUGAAAUCUCCCGGCUCAACCGUGGGGCUGCAGGGCAAACUGCAGGGCUUGAGGUAGGUAGGGGCGUGCGGAACUCUGGGUGGAGCGGUGAAAUGCGUAGAUAUCCGGAGGAACGCCGGAGGCGAAAGCGGGACGCUGGGCCGAUACUGACGCUGAGGCGCGAAAGCGUGGGGAGCAAACAGG